rnacentral:rRNA from 1 species
UACGUAGGGUGCAAGCGUUGUCCGGAAUUAUUGGGCGUAAAGAGCUCGUAGGCGGUUUGUCGCGUCUGCUGUGAAAACCCGAGGCUCAACCUCGGGCCUGCAGUGGGUACGGGCAGACUAGAGUGCGGUAGGGGAGAUUGGAAUUCCUGGUGUAGCGGUGGAAUGCGCAGAUAUCAGGAGGAACACCAAUGGCGAAGGCAGAUCUCUGGGCCGUAACUGACGCUGAGGCGCGAAAGCUAGGGGAGCAAACGGG